rnacentral:rRNA from 1 species
AACGAACGCUGGCGGCAGGCUUAACACAUGCAAGUCGAGCGCCCCGCAAGGGGAGCGGCAGACGGGUGAGUAACGCGUGGGAAUCUACCCAUCUCUACGGAAUAACGCAUGGAAACGUGUGCUAAUACCGUAUACAUCCUUCGGGAGAAAGAUUUAUCGGAGAUGGAUGAGCCCGCGUUGGAUUAGCUAGUUGGUGGGGUAAAGGCCUACCAAGGCGACGAUCAAUAGCUGGUCUGAGAGGAUGAUCAGCCACACUGGGACUGAGACACGGCCCAGACUCCUACGGGAGGCAGCAGUGGGGAAUAUUGGACAAUGGGCGCAAGCCUGAUCCAGCCAUGCCGCGUGAGUGAUGAAGGCCCUAGGGUUGUAAAGCUCUUUCACCGGUGAAGAUAAUGACGGUAACCGGAGAAGAAGCCCAGGCUAACUUCGUGCCAGCAGCCGCCGUAACAC